GCCUCAGCUCGAGAAGAACCCCCCAUCCUUGGGUCCUCCAGCAUCUUCAAGGCCCCCAUUCUCUGCACAGCAGGAGCCCCCACGGUUACCUGCCUGGGGUCAGGGCCUGGCAACGCUCCAUGGUAACAGUGAGCUGAGUGGGCGCCUCAGCGCCUUUGCCUAUGAAAAGGGGAGGGCUCCUUCCCUGGGCGUUACCAUCAGGGCCACAGGGCAGAGUGGUCUUGGUGGGGAAACGGCUUCUGCAGAGGGUGGCUCUGUUCCCAGAACACACUGCACCAAGCAGGCCCUGCCAUUUCCCCGCCUGUGGCCACCUGCUGGGGAUGCUCAGGAAGGUGUGGGGACCAGUUGGGCAGGUCCCCAGGAAGCUGACUCUUUGCCUUGGAUCACCAGCUGGUCCACAGCCUGCUGGCACCACACCCCGUGUGUCAGCCUCCGGGAGGCUCACUGGCCUGUUCUGCUGUGUCUCCGACCAUCUUAUCCACAUGUUACGUUGGGCACAGGCGGUGUGCAGAGCAGAUGCCCCCGAGAACCUGCCCUGUGGACCUCCUGCCCCCUCGGCAGCGACUGCACCCGGCGCUCACCUGUCCCGGCACCGUCUCAGUGAAUUUCCUGUAUCAACGCAUGUGGUUCUCACCUAACCCAGUGAGGCAAGAAAACCAAGGCUCUGAAAAGCGAGGUAACUCGGUGGUCAUCGCAAACAGUAAGGAUUCCAGGCCGGUCUGUCUGGGUUGACAAGAUGGGGCGCUUUUUCCAUUCUGCCCGAUGGGGCUGACUUUUGACACUGUAUUCUCAAACCCGUGAUUUAAAAUACAACAUUCGUCAUUCCUCCAAGAAAUUAAACACGGGAUCGCCAUAUCCAGCACUGUCACCUCUGCGGACAUGCUCAGAACCACGGAGAGCAGAGCCUGGAACAGAUAUUCGCACACCCACAUCCAUAGCAGCGUUGUUCACAACAGCCAGAGGUGGAAGCCACCCCAGUGCCACCAGCAGGUGCGCGGGUAAACAAAGGCGGCAUCUAUACACAAUGGGUAUUAUUCAGCCAUAAAGAGGAAGGACAUUCUGACACAGGCUACAACACGAAGGAACCUUGAGGACAUUAUGCUGAGUGAAAUAAAACAAAUUCUGUGUGAUUCCACUUACACAGGUUCCUGAAAUAGCCCUGCAGAACAUGAGUCAUCGCAGGCGUGCCUGUCAGCUCAGGAACUGACCCAGAACACACACCGCAGAGCUCACAGGGACACCGCGGGAGGCCGGUGCUCAUUGGAAAACUAAACUUAAUGAAUCAUUAUAGUUAUUAUUUAUUGA